rnacentral:rRNA from 1 species
UGGGGAAUAUUGCACAAUGGGCGCAAGCCUGAUGCAGCCAUGCCGCGUGUAUGAAGAAGGCCUUCGGGUUGUAAAGUACUUUCAGUCGGGAGGAAGGUGGUAAGGUUAAUAACCUUAUCAAUUGACGUUACCGACAGAAGAAGCACCGGCUAACUCCGUGCCAGCAGCCGCGGUAAUACGGAGGGUGCAAGCGUUAAUCGGAAUUACUGGGCGUAAAGCGCACGCAGGCGGUUGAUUGAGUCAGAUGUGAAAUCCCCGGGCUUAACCCGGGAAUUGCAUCUAAUACUGGUCAGCUGGAGUCUUGUAGAGGGGGGUAGAAUUCCAUGUGUAGCGGUGAAAUGCGUAGAGAUGUGGAGGAAUACCGGUGGCGAAGGCGGCCCCCUGGACAAAGACUGACGCUCAGGUGCGAAAGCGUGGGGAGCAAACAGG